UCCUCAGGCAUCUGCAAUAAAAAAAAAAGUUUAGAAGACUAAUGAGUAACACUGCCUCUUUCUCUACAAUAUUCAGAACUUAUUGGUAAUAAGAUUCAAGAAGCACAUAAAUAAAGAUCAAACAUUUCAGGUUUACUACCAACAAAAGCUUUUGGGAUGAGAAAACAGGGAGUGGAGAAAUAGACGCCUGGAAAGAGGAAACUAGAGGAAGAGAAACCACAGAGAGCAGUUUGAAGGCAGAAGCACGCCCACAGGGUGCUUUGGAGACCCUCCAGGCUGCAGAGAAGAGCAAGGUUGAAAAUCAAUGCAUCUGGUUCACCUUGAAUCUUGAGCUGCAUAUUUUUAGCAUCAGAAAAGCCUGUAUUGCCAGCAUUACUGGAGAAAAAGCAGAUAACCCCACAACGUCCUCCAGCCAAGGAGGAGGGCAGAGGGCUCAGAGGAGCAGAGUGCCUGCAGCUUAGAUGAUUCACCAGCCUUGAUUCUUACAGCAUGCAGGCUGGUGACUAUGACCCAGGGACCAUGAACCAUGAGUUAGAAUUUUCUGACAGAGUCCCUGAUCUCAGGCUACCAUUUUCUUUAAUAAUUGAGAUAAGCAUGGGAAGGAGGCUUAAAGUA
rnacentral:lncRNA from 1 species